UUACUCUCAGGCUCACAUACCUCUCAGAGUCCAGGAGGCAGUGAGGGAAAGCUUUUAAUUCAAAGCCCUAUCCAUCUUCCCAACUCAGUGUGCCCUUGUGGGAAGCCGGUGCGUUUCCAGGGGAGCUGCUGGAGGCUUCUUAUGGCAUGCAGAUCAAGGAAGACCUGUAGACUACAUGCACCCUGGCGCUCCGGGAACGGGGAGCCAUGGAACGUGCGUGAAGCGGUGUGUAAAACUGGAGAGAAAAACCCUAAGGAGACCUCAUCGGAUGUUCCUGUGAUAAUCUAGGCCUCAGGACAGGCAGACUGGGAUGCUUGUGUUACCCCUAACUUUAGAUGACUCUCCCACUGCUCCCCUCCUUCACUGUAGAUUCCCACAAUUUCAGUAUCAAUGUAAUUACAAUUUAGGGGCUUAGAAACUCCUGUAUUUAUUGAGAACCCACUUAAUUUACAUACAUUGAGUUUCAAUAUUGCACAACUCUGUGUGGAGGGGUUAGGGUGGAGGAGACCUGAGAUGACAGAAGGCCAUGUUCUCUAGGGAUGGUCUGCAGCCCUCAGUGCUGUCUCUUUUCCCUCCAGCGCCCCCUCUGUGCCCCCCUCCAAUCCCUGCUCCCCCCAGUCUCUAUAGCUGAAGGCUAGGACGAACUGUGGGGUUGUGAAUAUUUACGCAGGCAGGCAUAGGACUCAGUGACGCAGCUGAGAGCCACGCAAGUGUUUGGUGACUCAUCAGACCUUCUCCAAAGACUUGUGAUAUUUUUCUCCUCUGAAGGGCCGAAAGCAAUUUGCAGUUAAUGAUAGUAUAUGACGCCAGAAGAGUACGCAGACCUUCCGGCUCAUCUUUUCUGUGCCUUGGGUGUUUUGUUUUUGAAAAAACCUAUGUGAAUUAUGUUCCCUUUAGUAAUGUUUAUUUUAUUCUGAUUAUUAAAAUAAUGUAUGCUCAUUGUAGAAAAUACAUAAAUGCAUUAAAUAGGAAAUAAAAAUGCAUGAAUUAUUUUUCC